rfam:Burkholderia latens strain AT17928 chromosome 1, complete sequence.
CCUCGUCGAUCUGUUGCGGGCUGAUGAAGUGGAUGUGCGUGUCGAUGCCGCCGGCCGUGACGAUCAGCCCUUCGCCGGCGAUCACUUCGGUCGCGGCGCCGAUCGCAAUCGUCACGCCAGGCUGGAUGUCCGGAUUGCCGGCCUUGCCGAUCGCGGCGAUGCGGCCGUGCUUGAUCGCGAUGUCGGCCUUCACGAUGCCCCAGUGAUCGAGGAUCACCGCGUUCGUGAUGAUCGUGUCGGGCACGUCGGCGGCCACGCGCUGCGACUGGCCCAUCCCGUCGCGGA